AAACAAAUUUUCAGUGAGAUGAUAAUAGUGUAUGUUACCUCUUCUGGGAAUAUUUAGAAGAAGGAGCACAAGAAAGAGGACACCCUUAGCAGAAACGUAAUUUAUUUCCAGUAGGAGUACAUCCAGGAUUGAAUAAGAGCAGCACUAGUGGACACAAGCCAACAGUCAGUCUACCCAGACUCCAAGGCACCUGCAGCACAGCCCUCCUUUUGCGUAUGAUGCCAGCUACGUAGAGGAUCCUACAGGAGGAAGGAAAAACCCACAUUUGCUUUAUAGCAGGGAUACUGGUGCUGUGGAGAGACCCAUGUGGAAAGGAACUGAGGACUCCGGGCAAAAGUCACCGAGGACCGAGGUUGCUGACAGUUGCAUGUGAACAACUUGGAAGCAGAUCAAUCCUUGCCCAAGCCCACACUUUGUCUACAGCCUUGGUGAGAGACCCUGAGCCAGGGAUGCACAUCCAAGCUGCACCCAAACUCUUGACCCACAGAAACUGUGAGACAAUGAAUGUGUUUAAGUCCCCAUAUCGUGAAGUCAUUUAUUACACAGCAAGAGAUGGCUAAGACGAGCACUAUUUUUAUCCCCUUUUGAGUUCAUGGCUUGGUCUCUCUACCUCCCACUGACUAAAUGUGACUAAAGCAAAAUCCUUUAACCAGCUGUCUCUGAAUAAUAUUACCUGAAUGCCUGCAGUUUACUAGCAUGGGAGGAAUUCAAAAGAGUUUAUGAGGGAAAUGGCCACAGUGAGGCAGAGGAUUUACGUGCAGGGAAGGCUUCAUCCUGGCAAAUUACCCAGGGCAGACCUUGCCUCCUUCACUGUCUAAAAUAUCCAAGUCUUAUAGUUUCAAAUCCCCAUCUCUUAUUGUCUGUCUUAUAGAGACCACUCUGACUCCUCAAAUACAGCCA